rnacentral:rRNA from 1 species
GGUGAACGCUAGCGGCGGGCCUAACACAUGCAAGUCGUGCGGAGGGGGCAACCCCUCAGCGGCGGACGGGUGCGUAACACGUAGGUAACCUGCCCCCAGGAGGGGGAUAACCCUGGGAAACCAGGGCUAAUACCCCAUAAAGCAAGGGCACCGCAUGGUGGGCUUGCUAAAGCCGAAAGGCGCCUGGGGAGGGGCCUGCGGCCGAUUAGCUAGUUGGUAGGGUAACGGCCUACCAAGGCGAUGAUCGGUAGCUGGUCUGAGAGGACGGCCAGCCACA